CUAACAAGGAUUCCCCUAGUAACUGCGAGUGAAGCGGGAAAAGCUCAAAUUUGGAAUCUGGUGGUCUUUGGCCAUCCGAGUUGUAAUUUAGAGAAGCGUCUUCCGCGCUGGACCGUGCACAAGUCUCCUGGAAUGGAGCGUCAUAGAGGGUGAGAAUCCCGUCUUUGGCAUGGAAUCCCAGGGCUUCUGUGAUGCGCUCUCGACGAGUCGAGUUGUUUGGGAAUGCAGCUCAAAAUGGGUGGUGAACUCCAUCUAAAGCUAAAUAUUGGCGAGAGACCGAUAGCGAACAAGUACCGUGAGGGAAAGAUGAAAAGCACUUUGGAAAGAGAGUGAAACAGUACGUGAAAUUGUUGAAAGGGAAACGCUUGAAGUCAGUCGCGUCGACCGAGACUCAGCCUUGCCUCGGCUUGGUGUACUUCUCGGCUUGACGGGUCAGCAUCGAUUUCGAUCCUCGGAUAAUGGCAAGGGAAAGGUAGCACCUUUUUAGGUGUGUUAUAGUCCUCUGUCGCAUGCGAGGGUCGGGAUCGAGGAACUCAGCACGCACCUCAGGGUGUCGGGGCCUUGGCCCACGUUUACGUGCUUAGGAUGCUGGCGUAAUGGCUUUAAACGACCCGUCUUGAAACACGGACCAAGGAGUCUAACAUACCCGCGAGUGUUCGGGUGGAAAACCCGUGCGCGUAAUGAAAGUAAAAGUUGGGACCUCUGUCGCGGAGGGCACCGACGCCCGGACCAGACCUUCUGUGACGGCUCUGCGGUAGAGCGUGUAUGUUGGGACCCGAAAGAUGGUGAACUAUGCCUGAAUAGGGUGAAGCCAGAGGAAACUCUGGUGGAGGCUCGUAGCGAUUCUGACGUGCAAAUCGAUCGUCAAAUUUGGGUAUAGGGGCGAAAGACUAAUCGAACCAUCUAGUAGCUGGU
rnacentral:rRNA from 1 species